CUUGGCCGCUUCAAACGAAGUGUGUGGUGUGGGGGUCUGCUUUCACUCGGCGUCCAGUGUGCUUUGGGGACGCCCGCCACGUGGGUUCAGUGAGGUGAGGCACUAACUACGAGUGGGCUGAUAAUGCAAACAAGCUCAUCACUCGUUGAUAAGGCCACCGCCAAGGCAGCCAAAGCCCUCUGGCCAAAGCAGCACCCUUCCAGAGAUGGAGAGUGGUGAGGAUCAGACGACAGGAGACAUUUCUCCCGAUGCUCAAGAAGAAAAUCUCGCAGAAAGUCUUGGCCGCCGAGACAUGGGACAGCGCCCUCGCUCUACCAUGGCGCACAGAA